rnacentral:rRNA from 1 species
GGUAAUAAAACCCGGAGGAAAGGUCGGGGAUGACGUCAAAUCAUCAUGCCCCUUAUGACCUGGGCUACACACGUGCUACAAUGGUUGGUACAACGAGUUGCGAGUCGGUGACGGCGAGCUAAUCCCUUAAAGCCAAUUUCAGUUCGGAUUGUAGGCUGCAACUCGCCUACAUGAAGUCGGAAUCGCUAGUAAUCGCGGAUCAGCACGCCGCGGUGAAUACGUUCCCGGGCCUU